UACAGAGGGUGCGAGCGUUGUUCGGAAUUACUGGGCGUAAAGCGCGUGUAGGCGGCUCGGCAAGUCGGGUGUGAAAGCCCCGGGCUCAACCUGGGAAGUGCACCCGAAACUGCCGAGCUGGAGUACUGGAGAGGACGGCGGAAUUCUCGGUGUAGAGGUGAAAUUCGUAGAUAUCGAGAGGAACAUCGGUGGCGAAGGCGGCCGUCUGGACAGUUACUGACGCUGAGACGCGAAAGCGUGGGGAGCAAACAGG
rnacentral:rRNA from 1 species